rnacentral:lncRNA from 1 species
AGGCUCUCUGGAAUGGGAAUCUCAGCUUUGCUUCUCACUAGCUACAGGAUCAUGUCUUAGUUCGUGUUCUGCCACUAUAACAAAAUAGCUAGGGCUGGGUAUUUUACAUAUUGAAGAGGCUUAUUUAUCAUAUGGUUCUGGAAGUCCAAGAGCACAAUACCAAUUUUUCUCAGCUCUGGCUUCUCUUCACAGCCCCCUUGGCUGUACUGAAUCACAGUGGAGACAUUAUGGCAGGACUGCAUGCUAGAGGGACAGAUCACCCAGUGAGACAGGAAGUCAGACAAGUCCAGGGGCCAGCUUUGCUCUUUUAUCAACCUGCUCAUACAGGAACUAACCAUAAUUUUGUGAAAACCACCUUAAAUCCUUCUGAGGGCAUCGUUUCCAGUGUCCUAACCUUAUGCUACACCUCUUAUAGUUCCCACCACUUUUUAAUGCUGUCAUUACCAGGAACCACGCUUCCAGCACAUGAAACUUUGGAGACCCCCUCAAACUAUAUCCAAAUCACAGCAGGCUAUGGAGAGCAUACCAGGCAUGUGAUUUCCUAUGAACCUACAGUCAUUUGCAUUACAAGUGGUCAUGGUCCCUGUCUAUCGGAAGAACACUCCAGGGCAAUGUGAGCCCCAGCUUCAGAACACAGUGCCAAAAGAGAACUCACCUAACCUGUGGUUGUCCUGCUUCAGGACAUGUCGAGGGUCACUGCAUUGCAGCUGGGACAGAACAAACUCAUCCUUGGCCACAGGUCCACAGGAAUAUCUUCUCUGGAAAGCUGUGACGGACAGGUUGAGAGAAUUGCUAUUGCCAGUGGAUCUCACUGAAUGGAUAAAAACUCUGGAGGCUGCAAUAAGAG